UUUAAUAUAGUUUAAAUUAAAAUUUUAAAUUGCAAAUUUAAAGAUUAAUAAUGAAU
rnacentral:tRNA from 1 species